rnacentral:lncRNA from 10 species
AUUUUAUUUUGUAACAAAAUACAAAUAUUUUACAUAUUUGAGAUUCUACACAGUUUUGCUUCAAUAGUCUUUAGACACAACUUUAAUGUGUUUAAUGUCUAUAUGGUGUCCAUGCUGUAGAGAUGCCAUAACUUAUUUAACCAUUCUCUAUUUUGGAAUAUUUAGAUUGUUCUGAGUCUUCAUUAUUUCAUCUAUACCGUGUGUGUGUGUGUGUGUGUGUGUGUGUCCCACAUGUGUAUGCACUAUAUUAUACAACUACAUGUAUGUAUAUAUAGAUACCGUCUAUGACCAGUCUUUGUAAGUAAGUGCCUCUCUGAUUGUUUUUUCUUAGGACAUAUCACUGAAUCAGAACAAAUAAACCCUUUCAAGGUUCUUGAGACGUGUCGCUAAAUUGCCUUUCCAGAAAGGGUGUACCAAUUUUUAUUUUCAUCCACAAGCAGGCGGCUCGCUGACCCUCGCCCACAUUUUUGUCACUUUAAAAAGAAGUGACAGUUGGGAAAGCUCAGUUUCUUCUGGCAGUUGACACAUUUGGGAUGUUUUUUCACCAAAAAACCUAAGGUCAUGUUUUAGAAAAUUCGAACUCAGAAAUAGGACUUCUCUGAGACUCUCCUUUUCCCUCAAGUCCUUUUUGUGAGGGGGAUGGGUGGGAGAGAGGAGACUGAUUCAAGGAGCCUUCCAACUCUGAUGUUCUGGUAUUUUCACCGUCAUUACUGGCACCAGAUUGCUCAAUCCUUCGACCAAUAAGACAAAGAAGGAAAGUACUUCAGCGCUUGCUGUUUUGUAAUACUGGCUUUGAUUGGGAGAAAAUAAGUGGGAAACAAGAGUAGCUUGGACAGGGGGCUUGGACGGCCAGCGCAUUGACCAGAAGCGGCCCACACUACACGCGCGCGAACACACACACACACACACGCACACGCCGCGCGCGGUCAGCUAGAGUUUGGCUACUGGACCCAGGAAGGGAGGGAGCGGGAGGAGCUGGUGGCUGUCGGGUCGGGGUCUGGGCGCC